rnacentral:tRNA from 1 species
AAUCCGUCGACUUUAUAAAUCGUGAGGGUUCA